rnacentral:rRNA from 1 species
UACAGAGGUCCCAAGCGUUGUUCGGAUUCACUGGGCGUAAAGGGUGCGUAGGUGGUGGGGUAAGUCGGAUGUGAAAGCUCGGAGCUCAACUCCGAAAUGGCAUUGGAAACUACCCUGCUAGAGGAUUGGAGGGGGGACUGGAAUACUUGGCGUAGCAGUGAAAUGCGUAGAUAUCAAGUGGAACACCAGUGGCGAAGGCGAGUCCCUGGACAAUACCUGACACUGAGGCACGAAAGCUAGGGGAGCAAACAGG